rnacentral:misc_RNA from 1 species
AACGCACAUUGCGCCCGCUAGUAUUCUGGCGGGCAUGCCUGUUCGAGCGUCAUUUCAACCCUCAGGCCUUAUGCGCCUGGCGAUGGGGAUUCCGCGGUUGCUCGCGGACCCUGAAAGAUAGCGGCGGGCUCCUCGACACUCCGAGCGCAGUAAAUUUUCUCUCGCUCAGGGGCGUUGUCGACGGGGCCCUGCCUCAAACCAAUACUCUCUAAGAGGUUGACCUCGGAUCAGGUAGGAAUACCCGCUGAACUUAA